rnacentral:rRNA from 1 species
UACGUAGGGUGCAAGCGUUAAUCGGAAUUACUGGGCGUAAAGCGCGCGCAGGCGGUUAUGUAAGACAGGGGUGAAAUCCCCGGGCUUAACCUGGGAACUGCAUUUGUGACUGCAUAGCUAGAGUACGGUAGAGGGGGAUGGAAUUCCGCGUGUAGCAGUGAAAUGCGUAGAUAUGCGGAGGAACACCGAUGGCGAAGGCAAUCCCCUGGACCUGUACUGACGCUCAUGCACGAAAGCGUGGGGAGCAAACAGG